AUGAUAUCUCAUGGCUAUUCCAACUUCUCAGAUACAAGCUCCUUUAGUCUGUGUCCAUACUGUGAAUACUGGGUCAAGCUAAUGAUCCAGGAAGAGGAAAGACAUUUUCAGGGCAGCACGAAUAUAAAUGAUAAACUAUGCUAUCUUCGACUCUGGCAGUACGGCCAUUUUCUUGUCAGAGAAGCCCAGCAAAAGGAGGAAAACAAAUGCAAAAUUUCCUAUUGAAUGGUUCAAUUCACCUGGAAUAGCAUUUGAAAUAAUGAAAGCUGUCUCCCAUUAGCAAAGUCCUGUGCCCACUAUUGAAACUAAAUUGUGUGCUGUGGAAUUGCAGUCCUGUCUUCAAAAAUAAAAUUGGUUUUCCUGCUGGGAGAGCA
rnacentral:lncRNA from 1 species